rnacentral:rRNA from 1 species
UACAGAGGGGGCGAGCGUUGUUCGGAAUUACUGGGCGUAAAGGGCGCGUAGGCGGCCUUCUAAGUCGAACGUGAAAUCCCCGGGCUCAACCCGGGAACUGCGUCCGAUACUGGGAGGCUUGAAUCCGGGAGAGGGAUGUGGAAUUCCAGGUGUAGCGGUGAAAUGCGUAGAUAUCUGGAGGAACACCGGUGGCGAAGGCGGCUCACUGGCCCGGUACUGACGCUGAGGCGCGAAAGCGUGGGGAGCAAACAGG